rnacentral:rRNA from 1 species
GAUGAACGCUAGCGGCAGGCUUAACACAUGCAAGUCGAGGGGUAGAAGCUUUCGGGCUUUGAGACCGGCGCACGGGUGCGUAACGCGUAUGCAAUCUGCCUUACACUAAGGGAUAGCCCAGAGAAAUUUGGGUUAAUACCUUAUAGUAUAUUGAUGUGGCAUCACAUUAUUAUUAAAGAUUUAUCGGUGUAAGAUGAGCA